rnacentral:rRNA from 1 species
UGAGGAAUUUUGCGCAAUGGGCGAAAGCCUGAAGCAGCAACGCCGCGUGGAGGAUGAAGGGCUUUCAGCUUGUAAACUCCUGUAAAGAAGGAAAAAAUUCCCAUUAGAUGGGAAAUGAUGGUACCUCUAAAGUAAGCCCCGGCUAACUACGUGCCAGCAGCCGCGGUAAUACGUAGGGGGCAAGCGUUGUCCGGAUUUACUGGGUGUAAAGGGUGCUCAGGCGGAUUUGUAAGUCAGAGGUGAAAUCUCACAGCUUAACUGUGAAACUGCCUUUGAUACUGCAAGUCUAGAGUAUGGAAGAGAGUGAUGGAAUGUCUGGUGUAGCAGUGAAAUGCGUAGAUAUCAGAUAGAACACCAAUGGCGUAGGCAGUCACUUGGUCCAUUACUGACGCUAAAGCACGAAAGCGUGGGUAGCAAACA